UCUGCUCAAUGAUUUUUUAAAUUGCUGUGGGAUCAUUUACCGUACGAAGGUAGCGAAACAAGGCUUUGAAUGAGUUCUAAGUGAAUGAAUGAAUGGGAGAGUACUUUCUUUAGUAAAAGAUUAGAAUUUUUCUUAAGAAUGAGGAGAUUCUUAUAAAAUAGUGGGACGAGAAGACCCUAUGAACCUUUAUAUGUGUUGUAGACUAGAAUCUAUAAUAUUUAUUUGGUUGGGGCGACAGAAAAAUAGUAAGUAACUUUAUUACGAAAGUUUUAAUAAAAAUUGAUGGAUAAGGUACUCUAGGGAUAACAGCGUGAUUAUUUUGGAUAGGCCAUAUUGAUAAAAUAGUUUGCGACCUCGAUGUUGAAUUAGUGCACCUCUUUAGCCGCAGUUGGUUAGGAAGGCAGAUUGUUCAUCUGUUAAAUCACUACUUGAUCUGAGUUCAGACCGGAAACCGGAACUUAACUGACUGAGCCACCUGGGNAUCCCUAAUCAGGGUGUUUUUUAUUGCAAGUGAAAGGAACCCAAUCA
rnacentral:rRNA from 1 species